GACGAACGCUGGCGGCGUGCUUAACACAUGCAAGUCGAACGGAAAGGCCCUGCUUUUGUGGGGUGCUCGAGUGGCGAACGGGUGAGUAACACGUGAGUAACCUGCCCUUGACUUUGGGAUAACUUCAGGAAACUGGGGCUAAUACCGGAUAGGAGCUCCUGCUGCAUGGUGGGGGUUGGAAAGUUUCGGCGGUUGGGGAUGGACUCGCGGCUUAUCAGCUUGUUGGUGGGGUAGUGGUUUACCAAGGCAUUGACGGGUAGCCGGCCUGAGAGGGUGACCGGCGACAUUGGGACUGAGAGACGGCCCAGACGCCUACGGGAGGCAGCAGUGGGGAAUAUUGCACAAUGGGCGGAAGCCUGAUGCAGCGACGCCGCGUGCGGGAUGACGGCCUUCGGGUUGUAAACCGCUUUCGCCUGUGACGAAGCGUGAGUGACGGUAAUGGGUAAAGAAGCACCGGCUAACUACGUG
rnacentral:rRNA from 1 species